UAUCUCUGUAGAGUCUGCAUAUCAAUAAGCGGAGGAAAAGAAACUAACAAGGAUUCCCUUAGUAACGGCGAGUGAAGCGGGAAGAGCUCAAAUUUGAAAUCUUCAAGGUUUUACCUUGACGAAUUGUAGUUUAAAGAAGUGUUCUCUGUUGGAGUUUCGGUAAAAGUUCUUUGGAAUAGGACAUCAUAGAGGGUGAGAAUCCCGUAUUUGACCAUUAUUUCAGCUGUGUGAUACACUUUCAAAGAGUCGGAUUGUUUGGGAAUGCAGGUCCAAAAUGGGUGGUAAAUUUCAUCUAAAGCUAAAUAUUGGCGAGAGACCGAUAGCGAACAAGUACCGUGAGGGAAAGAUGAAAAGAACUUUGAAAAGAGAGUUAAACAGUACGUGAAAUUGUCAAAAGGGAAGCGUUUGACACCAGUGUUGUUUUCUCGAAAAUCAAUUAAAAAUGGCUUGAUUUUGUGUUGUAUUGACCUUAAAAGCUUUCUUCACUUUUUUCAUGUCUUUUUUAAUGCACUUUUCGUUUAACAAGUCAACAUCAGUUUCUUUUGUUGUAAAAAGGUCAUUGGAAGGUGGCUUUCUUUUCGGAGAAAGUGUUUAUAGCCUUUGACUCCUGCAAUCGGAGAGACUGAGGUCUGCAGCGUAGAUCCCUCUUGGAUUAGAUUCAUUUGUGCUAAGUUAUAGCUUUUCAUAGACAACUUGUUGACUAUGUUUAGUCUUGUAGCUUACUCGCUUAUGCAAUUUUACCUACGCUUAGGAUGUUGAUCUCUCACAGUCGAGC
rnacentral:rRNA from 1 species